AUUGAACGCUGGCGGCAGGCCUAACACAUGCAAGUCGAGCGAGAAAGCACUUCGGUGCGAGUACAGCGGCGGACGGGUGAGUAACGCGUAGGAAUCUACCCGGUAGUGGGGGACAACAUGGUGAAAACCAUGCUAAUACCGCAUACGCCCUUAGGGGGAAAGCGGGGGAUCUUCGGACCUCGCGCUAUCGGAUGAGCCUGCGUAGGAUUAGCUAGUUGGUGAGGUAAAGGCUCACCAAGGCGACGAUCCUUAGCUGGUCUGAGAGGACGACCAGCCACACUGGGACUGAGACACGGCCCAGACUCCUACGGGAGGCAGCAGUGGGGAAUUUUCCGCAAUGGGCGAAAGCCUGACGGAGCAACGCCGCGUGAGGGAUGAAGGCCUCUGGGCUGUAAACCUCUUUUAUCAAGGAAGAAGAUCUGACGGUACUUGAUGAAUAAGCCACGGCUAAUUCCGUG
rnacentral:rRNA from 1 species